rnacentral:rRNA from 1 species
CCUACGGGCGGCAGCAGUGAGGGAUAUUGGUCAAUGGCCGCAGGGCUGAACCAGCCAAGUCGCGUGAGGGAUGACGGUCCUAUGGAUUGUAAACCUCUUUUGUCAGGGAGCAAAUGGCGCCACGUGUGGCGCUUUGCGAGUACCUGAAGAAAAAGCAUCGGCUAACUCCGUGCCAGCAGCCGCGGUAAUACGGAGGAUGCGAGCGUUAUCCGGAUGUAUUGGGUCUAAAGGGUGCGCAGGCGGAAGGACAAGUCAGCGGUAAAAUUUCGGGGCUCAACCCCGUCGUGCCGUUGAAACUGGCGUUCUUGAGUGAGCGAGAAGUAUGCGGAAUGCGUGGUGUAGCGGUGAAAUGCAUAGAUAUCACGAAGAACUCCGAUUGCGAAGGCAGCAUACCGGCGCUCAACUGACGCUCAUGCACGAAAGCGUGGGUAUCGAACAGGAUUAGAUACCCGAGUAGUC